UGGGGAAUAUUGGACAAUGGGCGCAAGCCUGAUCCAGCCAUGCCGCGUGUGUGAAGAAGGCCUUCGGGUUGUAAAGCNCUUUUGUNGGGNAGGAANNGCNGUNGGUUAAUACCCGGUUGUUAUGACGGUACCCANAGAAUAAGCACCGGCUAACUUCGUGCCAGCAGCCGCGGUAAUACGAAGGGUGCAAGCGUUAAUCGGAAUUACUGGGCGUAAAGCGNGCGUAGGUGGUUNUUUAAGUCNGAUGUGAAAUCCCCGGGCUCAACCUGGGAACUGCAUUNGANACUGGCNGGCUAGAGUGUGGUAGAGGGGGGUGGAAUUCCNGGUGUAGCAGUGAAAUGCGUAGANAUNGGGAGGAACACCNAUGGCGAAGGCAGCCCCCUGGACC
rnacentral:rRNA from 1 species